GCCCAGACUCCUACGGGAGGCAGCAGUGGGGAAUAUUGCACAAUGGGGGAAACCCUGAUGCAGCGACGCCGCGUGAGCGAUGAAGUAUUUCGGUAUGUAAAGCUCUAUCAGCAGGGAAGAAGAUGACGGUACCUGACUAAGAAGCCCCGGCUAACUACGUGCCAGCAGCCGCGGUAAUACGUAGGGGGCAAGCGUUAUCCGGAUUUACUGGGUGUAAAGGGAGCGUAGACGGCGAUGCAAGCCAGAUGUGAAAGCCCGGGGCUCAACCCCGGGACUGCAUUUGGAACUGUGUGGCUGGAGUGUCGGAGAGGCAGGCGGAAUUCCUAGUGUAGCGGUGAAAUGCGUAGAUAUUAGGAGGAACACCAGUGGCGAAGGCGGCCUGCUGGACGAUGACUGACGUUGAGGCUCGAAAGCGUGGGGAGCAAACAGGAUUAGAUACCCGAGUAAC
rnacentral:rRNA from 1 species